rnacentral:rRNA from 1 species
UACGUAGGGGGCAAGCGUUGUCCGGAUUUAUUGGGCGUAAAGAGCGUGUAGGCGGUCUGGUAGGUCCGUUGUGAAAACUCGAGGCUCAACCUCGAGACGCCGAUGGAAACCCUCAGACUAGAGUCCGGAAGAGGAGAGUGGAAUUCCUGGUGUAGCGGUGAAAUGCGCAGAUAUCAGGAAGAACACCCGUGGCGAAGGCGGUUCUCUGGGACGGUACUGACGCUGAGACGCGAAAGCGUGGGGAGCGAACAGG